rnacentral:rRNA from 1 species
GAUGAACGCUGGCGGCGUGCCUAAUACAUGCAAGUCGAGCGAACGGACGAGAAGCUUGCUUCUCUGAUGUUAGCGGCGGACGGGUGAGUAACACGUGGAUAACCUACCUAUCAGACUGGGAUAACUUCGGGAAACCGGAGCUAAUACCGGCUGAUAUUUUGAACCACAUGGUUCAAAAGUGAAAGCCGGUCUUGCUGUCACUUAUAGAUGGAUCCGCGCUGCAUUAGCUAGUUGGUAAGGUAACGGCCUACCAAGGCAACGAUGCAUAGCCGACCUGAGAGGGUGAUCGGCCACACUGGAACUGAGACACGGUCCAGACUCCUACGGGAGGCAGCAGUAGGGAAUCUUCCGCAAUGGGCGAAAGCCUGACGGAGCAACGCCGCGUGAGUGAUGAAGGUCUUCGGAUCGUAAAACUCUGUUAUUAGGGAAGAACAUAUGUGUAAGUAACUGUGCACAUCUUGACGGUACCUAAUCAGAAAGCCACGGCUAACUACGUG